UACGUAGGGUGCAAGCGUUGUCCGGAAUUAUUGGGCGUAAAGAGCUCGUAGGCGGUGUGUCACGUCGGCCGUGAAAACCUGCAGCUUAACUGUGGGCGUGCGGUCGAUACGGGCAUCACUGGAGUUCGGCAGGGGAGACUGGAAUUCCCGGUGUAGUGGUGAAAUGCGUAGAUAUCGGGAGGAACACCAGUGGCGAAGGCGACUUCCUGGCCUGUUCUUGACGCUGAGGCGCGAAAGCUAGGGUAGCAAACGGG
rnacentral:rRNA from 1 species